UUAAAUAUAAUCUCUUAUAAACGACGAAUUGGUACGAAUAAGUUAACAAUGUGUUUAGAAAUAACAAACAUUCGCAAUCACUAUUGGAGCAUAUAAUAAAUGCAUCAACAAUGCCAUAACACGUGUAAUCAAAAGACAUAUUGACGGACAGGUCCCAUAACAAUAUUAGUCAUUAACGGUCUCAAUUGAAGAUAGGCUCACGAAUAUUAGGCAUAAGCAGUCUUAACUAGAGCAUACAUUAAUGGAUUAACAAUUUAAUAUCACAUCUUCUCAAAGGAUUCAUUUACGGGUAGGUCCUACAACAAAGAUGGCUAAACAACAUCCAGAGUUGUCUUUCAAUUAACUUGAAAAAAAGAGAAAAAUGCAGACAGUUUUAUAGGUAUGAGUGCUCAUAUUAACAUAUAUAACUUGAUUUUAACAUGUUAGAAACUGAAAUCUACAUAAUAUAAUUGAACAUACCAAUAGAGAUCAUGUCCUUUAGAUUGACAGAAGGAUUGAGCAGCUAAUAUUGUUCAUCAGUGGUUGUGAAAAUAUUGCUAAUAACAACACGUACAUACUGAAAUACCUAGCAAAAACACGGUAGAAACUAAAAUAGUCAUUUACAGUUCAACACCAUUAAGGAUAACUUAAAAUUUGAUGAAUAUCAUAACAACACUUAAUUGCAUCUUAUUGUAAAUAGUUCAUGUUGUGUAUUGAAUUAGAAAUUUAAAUUCUAUAGAAGAAUCGUCACCAAGAUGCUUUCAAAGGCGUAGAAGAAUCUAAAUGGUAACAACAAUGCACACAAAGCAGACAUAGAAACUGCGGUGGCAAAAACUCUUACAACAAUGCAAUGAAAGGCGUAGAAACAGUCAUGACCAAAUCAAAGCGCUUAAUUAGCAAAACAAAUCUUUCUUUUAACUAUCAAAUACCAACACAAAAUGUCUACCUAAAUUUGAUAAAAUGAGCGAGAGAGAAUAAGAAUAAAAAAGACCUAUCAAACACUUAGAAUGAAAAAUGGAUUUCUUAAAAGGGAAUGACGUGUAACUGAUACUAAAAUUGACAAAAUGGUAGAUGCACUAUCUGCAUGGCAUGGAAUCUCUCUCAUACUCACUUUCACUGCAGUCAAACAACACCAUAAAGCAAUAAAAUUUGAUAUCAUAUAAUUUCACAAUGUCAAAAUCAAAGAAAAAUAAACUAUUUAGUUGUUCUCAAAUUCACAGAGAAUGAUUUGAUCCCAUAUGAUAAGCACAACAAUGCAAUGAAAGGCAUAGAAACAAUCAUGAAUUUUUUUUGUAGAUGCAAUGUGAAUCGGCCUUCACAUAUCAGAUCACACAACAUGACCAAAUCAAAGCGCUUAAUUACCAAAACAAAUCUUUCUUUUAACUACCAGUGGACCAAAACUCUAGUUCUAGAUUAUUAAAAGAUACAAAAUAUAGGGCGCCAAAUAUAUAAGACAACUAAAUCAUAGCAAGAAACUUUGAUAUGUAAAUAAAUCAAAAUUAGAUCUAGAAACAUCCAGUGUGUUGACAUCAAAAUAAUGGAAACCUUGUAGAAUUAUCCAAACAAUCCCAAGCUAUAUCAAGAUCAACAUUAGCUAUAUAUAGAAACAUCCAGUGUGUUGGCUGCAACCAAGAAUUGCCAUUUUUGCCAUGUUAUAUAGGUUUAUCCCACUAGCGGAGCUGAUAAAAAAUGUGAUUUUAUGUUGACAUAUUCAAAUUCUAAAAGUAAAAAUAGGUCAAGAUAUGUAGGAGUAACUUCAGACUUUGGUCAUUAUUCAUCAAGAAUAGAAAUAACAUGGCAUUAAGAAUCAUAGUCAUAGACUCAACCAUGCUCAACCACCCUAUCUACAGCUCAGCUCAAUCUAUCAAUGUAGUCCGAAAAAAAUGGAAAAUUUAAAAACUUACUCGACCAGUCCACAAAUAAAAGCACAAAAGAAAACCUUCAAAUAAGGCCUUUAUUUUGCCAAGGAAGCCUGUAAUGGUACACCAUAAUUGUUAAAUUCAAAAAUGGGAGGAGAAAAAACAAUAAGUUUUAAAUUACAGGCAUAAUGGGAGCUAUUAUCUAUUCCAUGUCUUGAUUUAAGAAAUGCACUGAGAAGACCUCAACUAAGUUUUAAUGAUCCUUUUAUCAAACAGUUAGAAUGCAAAGUAGCAUUUCUUUGUACUAUAAUUGUUCAUUUCUUUACCUAUAAUUGUGCAUUUCUUUGUACUAUCAAAUGAAGCCCUUACAUAUUGUUAAAUAUUAUUUCAACUUCACACUACCUGCAAGCAGAACAAUAAAAUAAAAUUAAAAAGCUCAAAAAUCCCAAUUGCCUAAAAAACCUACAACAAUUUAUAUAUGGUCUUUGGUGAAAAAACAAAAUGAAAAAACAACUAAAUAAAGAUUAAUUUACCAAUUAGCAAUCCAUGUAGAUGUCAUCAAGUCCAUAUUUGCAGCAACUCUUUUAUAGAACCUUGUACUGCACUUCAAUCAUUUGAAUGUUUAUCUUCAUAAACCAAAACAAAGAAUGAAAGUAAAUCAAUCAAUUUUAGUUU
rnacentral:lncRNA from 1 species